rnacentral:rRNA from 1 species
CUAACACAUGCAAGUCGAACGGAACUUUUUUAAAAGAUUUCUUCGGAAUGAAUUUGAUUAAGUUUAGUGGCGGACGGGUGAGUAACGCGUGAGUAACCUGCCUCUAAGAGGGGAAUAACAUUCUGAAAAGAAUGCUAAUACCGCAUAACAUAUAUUUAUCGCAUGGUAGAUAUAUCAAAGAUUUAUCGCUUAGAGAUGGACUCGCGUCCGAUUAGUUAGUUGGUGAGGUAACGGCUCACCAAGACUGCGAUCGGUAGCCGGACUGAGAGGUUGAACGGCCACAUUGGGACUGAGACACGGCCCAGACUUCUACGGGAGGCAGCAGUGGGGGAUAUUGCGCAAUGGGGGAAACCCUGACGCAGCAACGCCGCGUGAAGGAUGAAGGUCUUCGGAUUGUAAACUUCUUUUAUUAAGGACGAAGAAAGUGACGGUACUUAAUGAAUAAGCUCCGGCUAACUACGUGCCAGCAGCCGCGGUAAUACGUAGGGAGCAAGCGUUGUCCGGAUUUACUGGGUGUAAAGGGUGCGUAGGCGGCUUUGCAAGUCAGAUGUGAAAUCUAUGGGCUCAACCCAUAGCCUGCAUUUGAAACUGCAGAGCUUGAGUGAAGUAGAGGCAGGCGGAAUUCCCCGUGUAGCGGUGAAAUGCGUAGAGAUGGGGAGGAACACCAGUGGCGAAGGCGGCCUGCUGGGCUUUAACUGACGCUGAGGCACGAAAGCGUGGGUAGCAAACAGGAUUAGAUACCCUGGUAGUCCACGCUGUAAACGAUGAUUACUAGGUGUGGGGGGUCUGACCCCUUCCGUGCCGGAGUUAACACAAUAAGUAAUCCACCUGGGG